AAUUGUAGGAGUCCCCUUCUCUGCCUGAAGAAGGUGAUGAGGAAAAAGAUAAAUAAAAACGAAAUCCCUCACCUCAACCGGAGUGAUCUACAAAAUAAACUUCAAUAGGCACAAUUGCAGAACAAAUGCCAUGCAGCUUGGAUUGUUGUCCAGGGUGAAAAACACAGCUAACGCAACAGAAACAAAGACAAAUUUCAAGGCAAUAUAUUUCUUACAGGAGGCAAAUCUAUAGGGGUGG
rnacentral:misc_RNA from 1 species